ACGGCUCAGUAACACGUAGUCAACCUACCCUAUGGACGGGAAUAACCUCGGGAAACUGAGAAUAAUGCCCGAUAGAACAUUAUGCCUGGAAUGGUUUAUGUUCCAAAUGAUUUAUCGCCGUAGGAUGGGACUGCGGCCUAUCAGUUUGUUGGUGAGGUAAUGGCCCACCAAGACUAUUACAGGUACGGGCUCUGAGAGGAGUGGCCCGGAGAUGGGUACUGAGACACGGACCCAGGCCCUAUGGGGCGCAGCAGGCGAGAAAACUUUGCAAUGUGCGAAAGCACGACAAGGUUAAUCCGAGUGGUUUCUGCUAAAGGAACCUUUUGUCGGUCCUAGAAACACCGAUGAAUAAGGGGUGGGCAAGUUCUGGUGUCAAGCCCGCCGCGGUAAAACCAGCACCUCAAGUUGUAGGAUGAUUAUUGGGCCUAAAGCAUCCGAGCCGGCUCUGUUAGUUUUCGGUUAAAUCUAUACGCUCAACGUAUAGGCUGCCGGGAAUACUGCAGAGCUAGGGAGUGGGAGAGGUAGACGGUACUCGGUAGGAAGGGGUAAAAUCCUUUGAUCAUAUUGAUGACCACCUGUGGCGAAGGCGGUCUACCAGAACACGUCCGACGGUGAGGGAUGAAAGCUGGGGGAGCAAACCGGAUUAGAUACCCGGGUAGUCCCAGCUGUAAACUAUGCAAACUCACGUGAUGCAUUGGCUUGUGGCCAAUGCAGUGCUGCAGGGAAGCCGUUAAGUUUGCCGCCUGGGAAGUACGUACGCAAGUAUGAAACUUAAAGGAAUUGGCGGGGGAGCAC
rnacentral:rRNA from 1 species